UCUUAUAGAUGAGCAAAUAAAGUAGUUUUUUGAGAUGGGAUCUACUUCUGGUGAAGAUGCUGUAAA
rnacentral:pre_miRNA from 4 species